UGGGGAAUUUUGGACAAUGGGCGAAAGCCUGAUCCAGCAAUGCCGCGUGUGUGAAGAAGGCCUUCGGGUUGUAAAGCACUUUUGUCCGGAAAGAAAUCCUUGGCUCUAAUACAGUCGGGGGAUGACGGUACCGGAAGAAUAAGCACCGGCUAACUACGUGCCAGCAGCCGCGGUAAUACGUAGGGUGCAAGCGUUAAUCGGAAUUACUGGGCGUAAAGCGUGCGCAGGCGGUUUGCUAAGACCGAUGUGAAAUCCCCGGGCUCAACCUGGGAACUGCAUUGGUGACUGGCAGGCUAGAGUAUGGCAGAGGGGGGUAGAGUUCCACGUGUAGCAGUGAAAUGCGUAGAGAUGUGGAGGAAUACCGAUGGCGAAGGCAGCCCCCUGGGCCAAUACUGACGCUCAUGCACGAAAGCGUGGGGAGCAAACAGGAUUAGAUACCCUGGUAGUCCACGCCCUAAACGAUGUCAACUAGUUGUUGGGGAUUCAUUUCCUAGUAACGUAGCUAACGCGUGAAGUUGACCGCCUGGGGAGUACGGUCGCAAGAUUAAAACUCAAAUGAAUUGACGGGGUCAUAGCUGUUUCCU
rnacentral:rRNA from 1 species